GUCACACCGUAAUGCAAUAACAAUUAAGAUUCCUAUACAGAAAGUUCAUGAUCGACAUACCACUGACUGCAAGUGGAGUAGAUACGGUGUGAGGUAUGCUACGAACUUUCCCAUAAUCUGUGUCCAAUUGAAGAUCCAGUGCCUACAAGGGUCAUGACAGGAAAGAAGCCAAGAUAUUACCAUUUAACAUAAAAGUUUUUGCAGACUGUAAAUAUUUGUGGGGAAUGUUCCUGAGAGCGGCGUAAAGGAAAGGUUCUGUGUCUGCAGCAUCACCAUCCAAGAUCUUCCAGGGCUAUCAGAAUGAGACCUUUCACUAAGUAGUAAAACUACUUGGUUGUCCUGUUUUAAAAAUGGGGUAUAGAGGAAGCAAUCCUUGACAGUGUAUUUGCGAAGAGAUAGUGGUAAACGGCAUCAAGAAAGCCUCCUUCAAGCUGAAGUGGAUGACAACAGAAAUGGACACAGAUGUAUGGUGGGUCAGCCAUUGAUAACAAUAAUCAAGCCUAAAAGACUUUAGAGCAGAAUUUCAGCUUGCUUUGCUUAAAAUGGGCAUCCUAACAAAAUAUUUCUGGAUGCCAAGUUGCCAACUUCAAAGCAUGACAAUAACAAAAAAAAUAUGUAACUGUCUUGUCCCCAUGGUAUAGCAUGACUGAAUAGAAAGAAUAGUAAGCAAAAACGAUGCACUAGAACUGUUCAACUGUAUAAUGCACACCUACAGUAUGAAUGUAAUUUUGUAGAAAAGC